UAGGAGAAGGAACUGGAGAUGGGAGUUUGUGGCAUAGAACAGGCGGAAGGCGGCGGCUGAAUAGCGCCGCCGUGCACUGUUGCUGGCGGAGGGCGUCGGCUGGCGGAAGGAAGAAGGGGCAGCGGUGCGGUGGCUUCGGCCGCUGCUGUGCUGCUCUGGUCGGACGGAGGAAGGAGGUAGCUGGACGGCGAUGGCAGCUGCUGCUGUUGUCGGCGAGAAG
rnacentral:lncRNA from 1 species